AGAGUUUGAUCAUGGCUCAGAUUGAACGCUGGCGGCAUGCCUAACACAUGCAAGUCGAACGGAGGUAGGGGCAACUCUACUUCAGUGGCGGACGGGUGAGGAAUGCGUCGGAAUCUACCCUAUGGUGGGGGAUAACACAGGGAAACUUGUGCUAAUACCGCAUGAUGUCGAGAGACCAAAGCAGGGGACCGCAAGGCCUUGCGCGAUAGGAUGAGCCGACGCCCGAUUAGCUAGUUGGUAGGGUAAUGGCCUACCAAGGCGACGAUCGGUAGCUGGUCUGAGAGGAUGAUCAGCCACACUGGGACUGAGACACGGCCCAGACUCCUACGGGAGGCAGCAGUGGGGAAUAUUGGACAAUGGGCGAAAGCCUGAUCCAGCAAUGCCGCGUGUGUGAAGAAGGCCUGCGGGUUGUAAAGCACUUUUGUUCGGGAAGAAAACGGAUCGGUUAAUACCCGGUUCGGAUGACGGUACCGAAAGAAUAAGCACCGGCUAACUUCGUGCCAGCAGCCGCGGUAAUACGAAGGGUGCAAGCGUUAAUCGGAAUUACUGGGCGUAAAGCGUGCGUAGGCGGCUUCUUAAGUCGGAUGUGAAAUCCCCGGGCUUAACCUGGGAAUGGCAUCCGAUACUGGGGAGCUGGAGUUUGGGAGAGGGUGGUGGAAUUCCCGGUGUAGCGGUGAAAUGCGUAGAGAUCGGGAGGAACAUCAGUGGCGAAGGCGGCCACCUGGCCUAAAACUGACGCUGAGGCACGAAAGCGUGGGGAGCAAACAGGAUUAGAUACCCUGGUAGU
rnacentral:rRNA from 1 species